AGAGUUUGAUCCUGGCUCAGGAUGAACGCUGGCGGCGUGCUUAACACAUGCAAGUCGGACGGAGAUUACUUUUAGCUUGCUAUUUGUAAUCUUAGUGGCGGACGGGUGAGUAACGCGUGGGUAACCUGCCUUAUACAGGGGGAUAACAGUCGGAAACGACUGCUAAUACCGCAUAAGCGCACAGUAUCGCAUGAUACAGUGUGAAAAGAUUUAUCGGUAUAAGAUGGACCCGCGUCUGAUUAGCUGGUUGGUGAGGUAACGGCCCACCAAGGCGACGAUCAGUAGCCGGCCUGAGAGGGUGAACGGCCACAUUGGGACUGAGACACGGCCCAAACUCCUACGGGAGGCAGCAGUGGGGAAUAUUGCACAAUGGGGGAAACCCUGAUGCAGCGACGCCGCGUGAGUGAAGAAGUAUUUCGGUAUGUAAAGCUCUAUCAGCAGGGAAGAAAAUGACGGUACCUGACUAAGAAGCCCCGGCUAACUACGUGCCAGCCGCGGC
rnacentral:rRNA from 1 species